rnacentral:rRNA from 1 species
UGAUACGUAGGGUGCAAGCGUUGUCCGGAUUUAUUGGGCGUAAAGAGCUCGUAGGCGGUUUGAUAAGUCGGGUGUGAAACCUCCAGGCUCAACCUGGAGCCGCCACUCGAUACUGUCAUGACUUGAAUUCGGUAGGGGACCACGGAAUUCCUGGUGUAGCGGUGAAAUGCGCAGAUAUCAGGAGGAACACCAGCAGCGAAGGCGGUGGUCUGGGCCGACAUUGACGCUGAGGAGCGAAAGCGUGGGGAGCGAACAGGAUUAGAUACCCUGGUAGUCCACGCCGUAAACGUUGGGCACUAGGUGUGGGAACUAUUCAACGGUUUCCGUGCCGCAGCUAACGCAUUAAGUGCCCCGCCUGGGGAGUACGGCCGCAAGGCUA